rnacentral:misc_RNA from 1 species
AAAUGCGAUAAGUAAUGUGAAUUGCAGAAUUCAGUGAAUCAUCGAAUCUUUGAACGCACAUUGCGCCCGCCAGUAUUCUGGCGGGCAUGACUGUUCGAGCGUCAUUACAACCCUCAGGCCCCCGGGCCUGGCGUUGGGGAUCGGCGGAAGCCCCCUGCGGGCACAACGCCGUCCCCCAAAUACAGUGGCGGUCCCGCCGCAGCUUCCAUUGCGUAGUAGCUAACACCUCGCAACUGGAGAGCGGCGCGGCCACGCCGUAAAACACCCAACUUCUGAAUGUUGACCUCGAAUCAGGUAGGAAUACCCGCUGAACUUAAGC